AUGGCAACGGGCAGUGCCAGCAGUGGCUGUGGCAUCCUGAGCAGGAAGAUUUGGUGCAGUUCUAGUGCAGCAUAGGCCAGAGUGAUGAUUCUGACAUUUGGGAUGCUACAGCACUGAUAAAAGUGGAUGAUAAAGCUGUGGCUUCAUUUAAACAGGCUCUAAAGAAUGAUGACAUUUGUGAAACUUCAGAUAAACCAAAAAGCAUGCCUAACAGAAAACCUGCUAAGAAGAAUAAAAGCCAGAAAAAGAAUACUGCAACUUUCUUGAAGUGGUGGAAAGUUGGGGAUAGAUGUUCUGCCAUUUGGUCAGAAGACAGCUGCAUUUACUCUGCUACCAUUGCUUCAGUUGAUAUGAAGAGAGAAAGCUGUGUUGUGAUUUACACUGGAUAUGGAAAUAGAGAGGAGCAAAUCUGUCUGAUCUACUUUCUUCGACCUCUGUAGCUAAUAAUAUAGGACAGAAUGCUCAAGAGAAUGAAAAUGAAAGUCAAGAUUCAAUGGGUGAAAGUGAGAACUCCAGAUCCUGGAAACAAACCAUUUAGCAUCAGGUCAGAAGCUGCUCCAUGGAAUUCUGAGACCACGAAAGCCAGGUCAGGUCUAAAAUUCAAUAGCCCACCACCCACACCACCCUGCUUCCCUUCAUGCUUGCUGCCUUCAUUUCCUUCUGGACCACCAAAAAUUCCCCCACCACCUCCCACAGGUCUAGAUUUUCUUGAUGAUGUUAAUGCUUUACGAAGUAUGCUAAUCUCUUGGUACAUAAGUGGCUAUCAUACUGGCUAUUAUACAGGGUUCAAGCAAAAUUAAAAAGAGGGAGAGUACUCACGUUCCAAUUAA